CGGCGAGUGAAGAGGAAGAGCUCAAAGUUGGAAACUGUUUGGCUUAGCUAAACCGUAUUGUAAACUGUAGAAACAUUUUCCUGGCACGCCGGAUUAAUAAGUCCUUUGGAACAAGGCAUCAUGGAGGGUGAGAAUCCCGUCUUUGAUCCGAGUAGUUGUCUUUUGUGAUAUGUUUUCAAAGAGUCAGGUUGUUUGGGAAUGCAGCCUAAAUUGGGUGGUAAAUCUCACCUAAAGCUAAAUAUUUGCGAGAGACCGAUAGCGAACAAGUACCGUGAGGGAAAGAUGAAAAGAACUUUGAAAAGAGAGUUAAACAGUAUGUGAAAUUGUUAAAAGGGAACCGUUUGGAGCCAGACUGGUUUGACUGUAAUCAACCUAGAAUUCGUUCUGGGUGCACUUGCAGUCUAUACCUGCCAACAACAGUUUGAUUUGGAGGAAAAAAUUAGUAGGAAUGUAGCCUCUCGAGGUGUUAUAGCCUACUAUCAUACUCUGGAUUGGACUGAGGAACGCAGCGAAUGCCUUUAGGCGAGAUUGCUGGGUGCUUUCGCUAAUAAAUGUUAGAAUUUCUGCUUCGGGUGGUGCUAAUGUUUAAAGGAGGAACACAUCUAGUAUAUUUUUUAUUCGCUUAGGUUGUUGGCUUAAUGACUCUAAAUGACCCGUCUU
rnacentral:rRNA from 1 species